GGGUGAGCGCCGCACCGUACCCUGUCUGGCCACUGCGCACGCGUCCUGGUGCUGCCUGCGCGUGGAGUGAGCAUCGCACCGUACCCUGUCUGGCCACUGCGCACGCGUCCUGGUGCUGCCUGCGCGUGGAGUGAGCAUCGCACCGUACCCUGUCUGGCCACUGCGCACGCGUCCUGGUGCUGCCUGCGCGUAGGGUGACCGCGAAGGUGUUGCCGGGACGCUGGGAAGCCGACCUUAAGGCGGAGUAGCGCACGCACGGACCAAGCUAAGGGGUCGUCAUGCGUUUCCAGCUGUCGGCGACAGGCACAAGGCCACGGCAAGCAGCUGCUGUGCUGCUGUUUUGUCUACUGCUGACGUCAUUUAGGGCUCCGGUGAGCGGCACUCCACUGCUGAGCAGCCUCCAGCGGGACGGGUCGCCUCACCACGUCAGCGACGGGCCACUCAGCUCGACGGCCGCCGGCCGGCAGGAA